UGUUGCAAGUUUGGGACCAUAGCAGAAGCACUCAUGGUGUGGUCCUGUCAGAUUCCAACAAAUCUGUGAAUUCUGCU
rnacentral:ribozyme from 1 species